UGCUUGCACUCAUUGGUGGGCACCACCCGAACCAUCCAAGUCGACACAUCCACAUAUUACAAUCAUGGCACCUUUGAGAGCUUCAACUGCAAACGUGUACUCCCAGACGAAACAAGCUGGCAACCUGAUAGACCUACCAGCCCUGCUCCCAUUACUAGGCUGGAUAAAGGGGUGAUGACAAUACCAACACCAGUUAAGCUCAAAGAAACGAACAGAAAGUCCAUCCCUACUUAUGCGGGUUGUGAAUCAGAUGGUUCCAUGAAUGACACUCCAUGUGAAAGCCCCACUUAUGAAGCUUCGUAUUCAGAUGGUUCCGUAGGGAGCGCACCAGGUGAAAGUGGACCGUCAGCUACAUAGCCAUCCAUGAACGCCUU